GGUCGCUCAGCAUCUGGUUGAUCUGCGCGGUAUUCUGCAGCACGGCUCGCGCCGCCUGUGCCAAAUGGUUGAGUGACGUAUAGCGCCGCAGCGUCUGUGCGAAGGCGCCGGCCGCGGCCACCUGCACGGAGACAGUAGGUACGCAUCUUCACGAAUGUCCUGCCACUUUCAAUUUAAGACACAACGAAGAGCCGCACCCCUCCAGUACUGAGCCCAUGGCCCUGCACAGACUUGGCGAGGGUGUACCACUGAGCUCUAUAUGCAAGGGUAGUCACUGUUUCCAUCAGAGCAGCCUCGGAUACCUGUUCCGUGAGGGCCUAGCUCCGUCACCACGGACCCACGUUGCCUUCAGUCUUCAGAGUGCACACAGCACGGACCAAUGACUGUGAGGCCCGGCAACUGCAAGGCCUGCUUCCUGCGCUCUCUACUCUUGCGGGCUCUCCCUGUCUUUUCUGUCUAGGGUCUCUGGGCUGGACUGGUGAAGCCAAAGCUUGUACUGGAAGGAGCUAUAGGUGUGGACCACCGUUCACUACGCUGUUGCAGAAGACAGUCUUGCUGAGCAUGUGGGGCACACCUUUAAUUCCAGCACUCAGGAGGAAGAGGCAGGGGAAUCUCUUGGCCUGGACAGAGAAAGCUGCCCUGCUCAGCUGAGGAAGCAGAGGGCACCAGGUGGCAAGAGUCUGAUACCAGGCAAGCACUUAGCUUGGUCCUAAGGGCAUACAAGGUGCUUAUACUGAGCAUGUAACCCCACUUCCUCUCGACCCUAUGAAAGGUGUUCCUGAUAGCUUGGACAGACAUGAGAAAACUGAGACAAAGAGAUCAAGAACAUCACCAAGGACAGUAUGAAUGAAUGAAUGAAUGAAUGAUGCCUGAGCCACUAACUGGAAAAGAGAUGAGCAGACACCAAGAGAUAGCUGAGUAAGGAGAUGAAGUAAGUACAGAAACGGGAAGGCACAGCCAGAGCAAUGUCCCAGAGGUAGGCACAGGAAGUAGAGCUGAGUGGAGUGAGCAGGAGCAAGAGUUCUUGCCCUGUGGUUCAGACCCACUUGGAGUUGAGGUGGGUCACAGGAGCAGACAGCAUAUGCCCUUGGGGC